AAAUAGAUACCCGGGUAGUCCACGCCCUAAACGAUGCUCACUAGGUGUUGGGGAAGCGAUUCCUUGGUACCGUAGCUAACGCGUGAAGUGAGCCGCCUGGGGAGUACGGCCGCAAGGUUAAAACUCAAAGGAAUUGACGGGGGACCCGCACAAGCGGUGGAUGAUGUGGACUAAUUCGAUGCAACGCGAACAACCUUACCUACCCUUGACAUGUCCGGAAGCCUGCUGAAAGGUGGGGGUGCUCGAAAGAGAACCGGAACACAGGUGCUGCAUGGCUGUCGUCAGCUCGUGUCGUGAGAUGUUGGGUUAAGUCCCGCAACGAGCGCAACCCUUGUCCCUAGUUGCUACGCAAGGGCACUCUAGGGAGACUGCCGGUGACAAACCGGAGGAAGGUGGGGAUGACGUCAAGUCCUCAUGGCCCUUAUGGGUAGAGCUUCACACGUCAUACAAUGGACGGUACAGAGGGUUGCCAACCCGCGAGGGGGAGCCAAUCCCAGAAAGCCGUUCGUAGUCCGGAUCGCAGUCUGCAACUCGACUGCGUG
rnacentral:rRNA from 1 species